rnacentral:rRNA from 1 species
CGUACACUCCUACGGGAGGCAGCAGUGGGGAAUAUUGGACAAUGGGCGCAAGCCUGAUCCAGCCAUGCCGCGUGAGUGAUGAAGGCCCUAGGGUUGUAAAGCUCUUUCACCGGAGAAGAUAAUGACGGUAUCCGGAGAAGAAGCCCCGGCUAACUUCGUGCCAGCAGCCGCGGUAAUACGAAGGGGGCUAGCGUUGUUCGGAAUUACUGGGCGUAAAGCGCACGUAGGCGGAUCGAUCAGUCAGGGGUGAAAUCCCAGGGCUCAACCCUGGAACUGCCUUUGAUACUGUCGAUCUGGAGUAUGGAAGAGGUGAGUGGAAUUCCGAGUGUAGAGGUGAAAUUCGUAGAUAUUCGGAGGAACACCAGUGGCGAAGGCGGCUCACUGGUCCAUUACUGACGCUGAGGUGCGAAAGCGUGGGGAGCAAACAGGAUUAGAAACCCCAGUAGUCCCA